GCAGGGCCAGGAUGUGUGCCUACUACUGCAGAUGUAACCACCUCCUGUUGUUUCAUCUGUCUUAUGUUUAUUUAAUAAUUAAUGAAACUGUCCAUUAAUGGAGACUGCUCUGUUUCCUCCUCCACUCACCCAUUCUCAUCUCCUCUCUUCCCUGCACCCUUUUGCACCGUGCCCCCAGGAGCAACCAUUCUCGUUAAUAUCCAACCCCUCGGAUCCUCUUCCUAAUCACAUACCUGCUGUUCUUUCACCUUACCUUAAGCUUGGUGUCCCUGGAAGACCCCACUUCCUUGAAGUCCUCUGGACUUCACAGAGGUCAAGGUCAGGGGGGGCCUGGCAUCCUUAAACCUCUAUAGGCCACCUGCAGACCCCCGUUCUCCACCCUGCGGCGAAGCUUUUUCCCCUUCCCCAACACUUCUGCCUGUACCUGUGGCUGUCCUCUAGCAGCUUCCUCACCACAGGUGAUUCAGGCCCUCACCUGCCUCAAGGUCUUCCUCUCCAUCCCAAGGCUUAGUCUCCCUUCCCCCUCUCUCCUCAGCUUCCUCUCCCUGCUUCCCCACCUACUCACUCUAUUACAAACUGCCCAAACACUCCACCUGCAUCCGAUUCCACUCAAACUGCUCCCAUCAAGGUUAACAAAUGAUUGACUGAUGCUAAGGCCACAUGAAACUUCUUGAGCCUUAAUUUCUGUAUUUUAUAGUAUCUUCUAAAGCUUCAUUGGAAGGGUUCCAUUGGAAGGACCAUCUUCUGGGACAUCCAAGUCCUGCCCAAUUCUAAGAUGCCCUGAACGAUGGAUUAGAAGAUGAUGGUUAAGUAUAAAGCAGCAGAUGGGAGCACAGACUCGGAUCACACUGCCUGGGUUUGAAACUUGCCCUACAGGCAUGACUGCACCACUUCUCAGCUAUGAGGCCUCAGGAAUUCUUUCCCUCAUUCCCCACCUACCGAACCCUGGAGUCCUACUGGCAAGACUGGAGUAGGCGUUCCCGCUGGGUGAGGACGUAGCUGGGCUGGAGAGAGGACUGUAGGAAGAAGGGUCUGCCGGUUUCUCCAGGUCAAGACUGUGAGGAGAGAAGGCCCCUGCAAGCAGACAUGGCACAUGAACCACUGAAGAGCUGGAAGAGAAGAGAAUGCAUCCGGAUGUCUGGAUGAGUCCCCUGCUGGCCCCAGCCCGGACCUUCUUCCUGCUUUCUCUGUCUGCACUGCAGCAUGUUACUGGACUCGCAACACACGACAAGCCCCAGAGCAAAGAAGGAAAGAAGCAAAGACCAACACAGCCUUCCUUCUGUUCCUCCAGGGCUUUCUUGGCCAUGAGUAGUCCUGGGACCACCUCAGCUCAUCUUCUCCAGCCCUCUCCUCUACUUUAAGUCUAAUCCCUCCCAAGAAGGGAAAAGCUGCUUGGAAUAAAAUUCAG